UAAAGGCCCACCAAGGCGACGAUCAGUAGCUGGUCUGAGAGGACGAUCAGCCACACUGGGACUGAGACACGGCCCAGACUCCUACGGGAGGCAGCAGUGGGGAAUUUUGGACAAUGGGGGCAACCCUGAUCCAGCAAUGCCGCGUGUGUGAAGAAGGCCUUCGGGUUGUAAAGCACUUUUGUCCGGAAAGAAAUCCCUUGCUCUAAUACAGCGGGGGGAUGACGGUACCGGAAGAAUAAGCACCGGCUAACUACGUGCCAGCAGCCGCGGUAAUUCGUAGGGUGCGAGCGUUAAUCGGAAUUACUGGGCGUAAAGCGUGCGCAGGCGGUUUUGUAAGACAGGCGUGAAAUCCCCGAGCUCAACUUGGGAAUGGCGCUUGUGACUGCAAGGCUAGAGUAUGUCAGAGGGGGGUAGAAUUCCACGUGUAGCAGUGAAAUGCGUAGAGAUGUGGAGGAAUACCGAUGGCGAAGGCAGCCCCCUGGGACGUCACUGACGCUCAUGC
rnacentral:rRNA from 1 species